AACGAACGCUGGCGGCGUGGAUUAGGCAUGCAAGUCGAACGAUCCCGCAAGGGAUAGUGGCGAAAGGGUGCGUAACACGUGGGCAAUCUGCCCCCGAAACGGGAAUAACUUCGGGAAACCGAAGCUAAUACCUGAUGACACCGAGCUGCCGCAUGGUGGCACGGUGAAAGGCGUCCGCAAGGGUGCCGAUCGGGGAUGAGCCCGCGGCCUAUCAGCUAGUUGGUGAGGUAACGGCCCACCAAGGCGAUGACGGGUAGCCGGCCUGAGAGGGUGGUCGGCCACAUUGGAACUGAGACACUGCCCAGACUCCUACGGGAGGCAGCAGCUAAGAAUAUUCCGCAAUGGACGGAAGUCUGACGGAGCGACGCCGCGUGGAUGAAGAAGGCCGAAAGGUUGUAAAGUUCUUUUGCUAGGGGAGAAUAAGUGAGGGAGGGAAUGCCCUCAUGAUGACAAGGACUAGCGAAUAAGCCCCGGCCAACUACGUG
rnacentral:rRNA from 1 species